AUCGCCUGUAUUUGACACGUUUAUGCUUGUCAGGUUUGAAAAAUAAAAUUACAUAUAUAAACCAACACUUUUUAUCCUGCAAUUGCAUAUUUUGCUUCCUGUCAACCUGCAAUAAACUUUAUCCUUUGCAGCGGGCAGCCAGCAUAAGGGAAGCAUACAGAGAAGACAAGGUUGCAAACAUGGAGGAUAAACAGAAACAUUGUUUAACUCCUUAAGGACUGGACUGUUUUUGCGAUGUUGUACAUUUGCGACCAGG